GACGUAGGGCGCGAGCGUUGUCCGGAUUUAUUGGGCGUAAAGAGCUCGUAGGCGGCUUGUCGCGUCGAAUGUGAAAGCCCGAGGCUUAACCUCGGGUCUGCAGUCGAUACGGGCUAGCUAGAGUGUGGUAGGGGAGAUCGGAAUUCCUGGUGUAGCGGUGAAAUGCGCAGAUAUCAGGAGGAACACCGGUGGCGAAGGCGGAUCUCUGGGCCAUUACUGACGCUGAGGAGCGAAAGCGUGGGGAGCGAACAGG
rnacentral:rRNA from 1 species